rnacentral:rRNA from 1 species
UGGGGAAUAUUGCACAAUGGAGGGAACUCUGAUGCAGCGACGCCGCGUGAGUGAUGAAGGAAUUCGUUUCGUAAAACUCUGUUCUAUGGGAAGAAAAGGACUGUACCAUAGGAGAAAGCUCCGGCUAAAUACGUGCCAGCAGCCGCGGUAAUACGUAUGGAGCGAGCGUUGUCCGGAAUUAUUGGGCGUAAAGGGUGCGCAGGCGGCUUUACAAGUUGGAUGUGAAAUAUUGUGGCUCAACCACAAACGUGCAUCCAAAACUGCAAAGCUUGAAUUAAGGAGAGGUAAGUGGAAUUCCUGGUGUAGCGGUGGAAUGCGUAGAUAUCAGGAGGAAUACCGGUGGCGAAGGCGACUUACUGGACUUAAACUGACGCUCAGGCACGAAAGCGUGGGGAGCAAACAGG